rnacentral:rRNA from 1 species
UACGAAGGGGGCUAGCGUUGUUCGGAUUUACUGGGCGUAAAGCGCACGUAGGCGGAUCGUUAAGUCGGGGGUGAAAUCCUGGAGCUCAACUCCAGAACUGCCUUCGAUACUGGCGAUCUAGAGUCCGGAAGAGGUGAGUGGAACUCCUAGUGUAGAGGUGGAAUUCGUAGAUAUUAGGAAGAACACCAGUGGCGAAGGCGGCUCACUGGUCCGGUACUCACGCUGAGGUGCGAAAGCGUGGGGAGCAAACAGG